rnacentral:rRNA from 1 species
CCUACGGGGGGCUGCAGUGAGGAAUAUUGGUCAAUGGACGAGAGUCUGAACCAGCCAAGUAGCGUGAAGGAUGACUGCCCUAUGGGUUGUAAACUUCUUUUAUAUGGGAAUAAAAUGUUCCACGUGUGGGACUUUGUAUGUACCAUAUGAAUAAGGAUCGGCUAACUCCGUGCCAGCAGCCGCGGUAAUACGGAGGAUCCGAGCGUUAUCCGGAUUUAUUGGGUGUAAAGGGAGCGUAGGUGGUUUGUUAAGUCAGUUGUGAAAGUUGGCGGCUCAACCGUAAAAUUGCAGAUGAAACUGGCAGUCUAGAGUACAGUAGAGGUGAGCGGAAUUCGUGGUGUAGCGGUGAAAUGCUUAGAUAUCACGAAGAACUCCGAUGGCGAAGGCAGCUCACUGGACUGCAACUGACGCUGAGGCUCGAAGGUGUGGGUAUCAAACAGGAUUAGAUACCCUAGUAGUC